rnacentral:rRNA from 1 species
UAGUCCACGCCGUAAACGAUGAGUGUUAGAUGUCCGAGGUAAACUUGGGUGUCUCAAGCUAACGCGAUAAACACUCCGCCUGGGGAGUACGUACGCAAGUAUGAAACUCAAAGGAAUUGACGGGGACCCGCACAAGCAGCGGAGCAUGUGGUUUAAUUCGACGCAACGCGAAGAACCUUACCAAGUCUUGACAUAACUUUGAAGCCAAUUAGAGAUAGUUGGUGAUUGACUUCGGUCAACAAAGCUAC